rnacentral:lncRNA from 1 species
AUAAAAACAGUAACUUCUUCCCACUCUCCUCCCUGUCGGUUGGUUAAGUGGGCAGGAAGUAAGCAGAUAGUAAAAUCAAAGACAAGAGCUAAUGAUUUAAGAAGGAGGAAAAAAAAUCUGUGGUUGAAGAACAAUGUACAUGAUCCUUAGAAUUAGAAAAUAUAUACGACUUCAUUAAUGUUUAUUUAAACAUAUAAAGGGUUUGUUGCCAGACACACGGGGCUGGAAUUCUGGUUCCGCCACCCAACCUAUUUGACCUUGGAUGAAUCAAAACCGUCUGAGCCUUAGCUUCCUCCUCCAAAAAAUGGGAGUUUUAUAAAGCUGUUGUGAGGAGCAGACGUGAUCAUCUAUGGAGAGCAUGUAUAUUUGCUAAUAGGCGAAAAAUGCCAUGAAUGAUUACAGUUAUAACUCAUACAGUCAGCUAACAUUAGAGACUCAGGAGUUUCCACCACAGAACAGAGGACUGACUGGAAUCAAAGCUCACCCCUUUCUUAGAGGCCAUUCUUUGAUGUGUCAGACACCCUUCACAGCCAACCUUUGAAACGAAGAGAGACGCGAAAUAAUUGGGCCAAAUGUAGACAAUGCUUCAGAAAUGAAGAUGGGUAGAACUUGAGGAGAUAUGGGAAAAUCUACAUUCCUUUUACCCAUGCUCUCAACUUUUUACCCAUUUCCACAAUUCUUUUAUUUCUUGGAAGUAAAAUAGGAUUUGACGGAACUAUAAUAUAUUAAUCUCACAUUCAUGUGAUUGAAUCAUUGGAAGUCAUCCCAGGCUUGAGAGCAAAGAAUGAAUAAGAGACAGGAGGAAAUCUGCAUUCAACAUGGACCUAGUUUUUUCAGCCAAAACAAAUGGCACAUUGGGAGACACUGCAAUUCAUGAAAAGCUUGUUGCCACAAUAGUCCUUCUCGAAACUUCUUUUUUCCCCAUAUAAUAUAGUAAAAAGUGGCCGUGCAUAGGCUGGGCGCAGUGGCUCACACCUGUAAACCCAGCACUUUGGGAGGCCAAGGAGGGUGGAUCAUGAAGUCGGGAGAUCGAGACCAUCCUAGCUGACACAGUGCAACCCCGUCAUUACUAAAAAUACAAAAAAUUAGCCAGGCGUGGCGGCGGGCGCCUAUAGUCCUAGCUACUUGGGAGGCUGAGGCAGGAGAAUGGCGUGAACCCGGGAGGUGGAGCUUGCAGUGAGCUGAGAUCCGGCCACUGCACUCCAGCCUGGGCGACAGAGCAAGACUCUGCCUCAAAAAAAAAAAAAAAAAAAAAAAGUAGCCGUGCACAGUGGCUCACAACUGUAAUCCCAGCACUCUGGGAGCCCAAGGCAGGUGUAUCACUGGAGGUCAAGAGUUCGAAACCAGCCUGGCCAACAUGGUGAAACCCGUCUCUACUUAAAAAAAAAAAAAAUUAGCUGUGCGUGGUGGUGCUCACCCGUAGUCCCAGGUACUCAGGAGGCUAAGGCAGGAGAGUCGCUUGAACCAUGGAGGUGGAUGUUACAGUGAGCUGAGAUCAUGUCACUGCACUCUAGCCUGGGUCACAGAGUGAGACUCCCUAUCAAAAAAAUUAAAAAACUAAAAUGAAACAAACAAACAAAAAAAUAUAUGUAUGUAACCAGCUGCCAGUUAUAAAGUAGCAAAUAGGCUGCUGACCUAUCUCUAAUAGAUGAGUAUCCACUAAUUAAAAAUGAAAUACAAUUUAGUCUAAGCCCAACCUAGAUUGAAAAAGAGCCAUCAUACAUUCUUCAGAAGGUAAUAAUACAAUUCUGGCCAAAGGAAUGUUUAAAGAUGACAAGUACAAGAAGUUAGGAAGUUUUAUGUAGUUAUUUUACUCUACCAAAACAAAAUGAGGUAUCUGCUAGGAUGUCUAUUAAAACAAAUUAUCACAGUCAUGCAUAGCAUAACAAUGUUUCAAUCAACAGUGGGCCCAAUAUACAAUGGUGGUCCUGUAAGGAGCUGAAAAAUUCCUGUUGCCUAGUGAUACUGUCUUUGUCCUAAGGUCUUAUUGCAACACAUUACUCACAUGUUUGUGGUGAUGCUGGUAUAAACAAACCUAAUGUGUUGCCAUUUGUGUAAAAGUGGAGCACAUACAAUUAUGUACAGUACAGAAUACUUCAUAAUGAAAAGUGGCUAUUACUGGUUUAUGUAUUUUAAACAGGCACUCCUUGCAAUUUCCUAUUGAUACUAUACUUUAUUAUUUUUAAGUAUAUUCCUGGUCAGGCAUGUGGCUGACACCUGUAAUCCCAGCACUUUGGGAGGCCAAGGCAGAAGGAUCACUUGAGGCCAGGAGACUGAAACCAGCCUGGGUACAUAACGAGACCCCUUCUCUACAAAGAAAUGAAAAAAUUGGUUGGGCAUAGUGGUGUGCACCUGUAGUCCCAGCUACUAGGGAGGCUGAGGCAGGAGGAUCACUUGAGCCCAGGAGUCUAAGGCUGCAGUGAGCUAUGAUCUUACCACUGCAGUCCAGCCUGGGUAACAGAGUGAGACCCCAUCUCUAAAGAAAAAAAAAUAAAGAAAAUGAAGCUAUUGAGUUUAUUUAUUUA